GGGAGAGAGAGAGAGAGAGCACUGGAAAAUAUUAUGAGAGAGAGAGUGAGAGAGACAGACAGACUGACAGACAAACUGACAGCAGACAGACAGUGAAGAAGAAAAGCAUAAAGUGGAAGGUAUGUAAACCCAACAGAUUUUUGGGAUCUGAUGAUACACCAUAAAUCUAAACCCUUUAUGGACAGGAAACCUAAGAAUCAACCUGAUGUCUGAAAUGAUUUAUCUGAAAAGAAAGGUAAAAAAAAAAGAAAAAAUUUAGAGCUCUUGAAAGAAGUGUCAUCAAAGAACUGACAAAACCUGUUACACUAACUGGACCUCUGGAUAUUCUAUGAAGAUAGACAUUAGCUGACAACCCCCACGAAGAAGAAGAAGAAGAAGAAGAAGAAGAAGAAGAAGAAGAAGAAGAAGAAGAAGAAAUAGAAGAA